rnacentral:rRNA from 1 species
AUUUUUCGCAAUGGGCGAAAGCCUGACGAAGCAACGCCGCGUGGAGGAUGAAGGCCCUAGUGGUCGUAAACUCUUGUCUAGCGGGACGAAAGUAUUUGGAGUAAAUAAUUCCAGAUAUUGACUGUACUGCUGGAGGAAGCUCCGGCCAACUCCGUGCCCGCAGCCGCGGUAAUACGGAGGGAGCAAGCGUUACUCGGAAUUAUUGGGCGUAAAGGGCGCGUAGGCGAUCUGCCAAGUCCUGUGUGAAAGCCCAAGGCUUAACCUUGGAAGUGCACAGGAGACUGGCUGGAUUUGAGUUCAGGAGAGGAAGGCAGAAUUCCCGGUGUAGCGGUGAAAUGCGUAGAGAUCGGGAGGAAUACCAGUGGCGAAGGCGGCCUUCUGGACUGACACUGACGCUGAGGCGCGAAAGCCAGGGGAGCAAAC